GACUUGUUAAAAAAAAAAAAAAAUCAGGUGAACUAAGUUUAUUAUUUAACAAAUCAACAAAAUCGUGUCCGCGUCGGAAGUGGCCGAUUGGGAAUUUGGGAGUACCGGGACGACCUUGCGCUUGAGUCUUGGAUCCAAGAAAUAGCAAGCAAAACAUAAGCCGAAAGCUCUUUCAAAGGGGAUCUAAACCUUCCCAGAUUCUCUGCGAAACCAGGAAGAAUUAAAGAUGCACAGGUCGUCAAGCGCUUCCCGAGUUUCCUCCGUAGAGUAUUUCUCGUCAACUUCGCUUCAAUCUUCCUGUGACGCCGCCGACCAACAACUACCAACGUACGAUCCCCUCUCCCAGGCGGCCAAGAAAGAACGGUCCCGUCUCAGAUCAGCAGAGUUCGCCGUCCACGCCAUCCCUCUCGUGCUACUGCUCUGCGCCAUCAUCCUCUGGUUCUUCUCCACACCUGAAUUAAGGGCUUGAAGAUUGACUGCAGCGUCAUGAUGGGGGAGUACAGAGAUCAAUUUGCUCGGGAAUUGGAGCCGAUGGAACUAAUUGAUCCAAACCAGACAGUUUUAGGUCACAAGCACCCGACAUAAUUUGGGAGCAUAUUGAGUGAGAUCAUUCAUAUUAAGUAAAAGAGCUUUGUAUGGCAUUUUAUAUGAACAUUUAUAUAUAAACGUACUGAUUAAAUGCAGAGUUCAGUUUAUAAAAGCAAUAAAUUUUGCGAUCAAAUCCAA